rnacentral:rRNA from 1 species
UACGUAGGGUGCAAGUGUUAAUCGGAAUUACUGGGCGUAAAGCGUGCGCAGGCGGUUAUGUAAGACAGAUGUGAAAUGCCCGGGCUUAACCUGGGAACUGCAUUUGUGACUGCAUGGCUAGAGUUUGGCAGAGGGGGGUAGAAUUCCACGUGUAGCAGUGAAAUGCGUAGAUAUGUGGAGGAACACCGAUGGCGAAGGCAGCCCCCUGGGUCAAGACUGACGCUCAUGCACGAAAGCGUGGGGAGCAAACAGG